GCAGCCGCGGUAAUUCCAGCUCCAAUAGCGUAUAUUAAAGUUGUUGCAGUUAAAAAGCUCGUAGUUGAAUUUCGGGGUUUAUCCGUUGGUCGGGCUUUUGGGUCUGUACUGGCGUGAUGGAUUCCUACCUUCUGAAUAACCAGCAUGUCAUUAAUUUGGUGCGUUGGGGAAGCAGGACUGUUACCUUGAAAAAAUUAGAGUGCUUAAAGCAGGCUAUUGCCUGAAUACAUUAGCAUGGAAUAAUGAAAUAGGACGCAUGGUUCUAUUUUGUUGGUUUCUAGGAUCACCGUAAUGAUUAAUAGGGAUAGUUGGG
rnacentral:rRNA from 1 species